AUUGAACGCUGGCGGCAGGCCUAACACAUGCAAGUCGAGCGGCAGCACUUCGGGUGGCGAGCGGCGAACGGGUGAGUAAUGCAUGGGAAUCUGCCUGAUAGUGGGGGAUAACUCUGGGAAACUAGAGGUAAUACCGCAUACGUCCUACGGGAGAAAGCGGGGGAUCUUCGGACCUCGCGCUAUCAGAGGAGCCCAUGUCCGAUUAGCUAGUUGGUGAGGUAAAGGCUCACCAAGGCGACGAUCGGUAACUGGUCUGAGAGGAUGGUCAGUCACACUGGAACUGAGACACGGUCCAGACUCCUACGGGAGGCAGCAGUGGGGAAUAUUGGACAAUGGGGGGCAACCCUGAUCCAGCCAUGCCGCGUGUGUGAAGAAGGCCUCGGUUGUAAGU
rnacentral:rRNA from 1 species